rnacentral:rRNA from 1 species
UACGAAGGGGGCUAGCGUUGCUCGGAAUCACUGGGCGUAAAGGGUGCGUAGGCGGGUCUUUAAGUCAGGGGUGAAAUCCUGGAGCUCAACUCCAGAACUGCCUUUGAUACUGAAGAUCUUGAGUUCGGGAGAGGUGAGUGGAACUGCGAGUGUAGAGGUGAAAUUCGUAGAUAUUCGCAAGAACACCAGUGGCGAAGGCGGCUCACUGGCCCGAUACUGACGCUGAUGCACGAAGCGUGGGGAGCAAACAGG